AUUUGUCUUAAAAAUCACACAUUUUUAAAGAAGCAUUUUAAAGUUAACAAAGUCUCUGAAUGUCCCUUCAGGAUGAAAGUUUUAAAUUUCACCAUUGUGCUGAAAAGUGGAAUAUGCUUUAGGACUUUGCUGAUUACGGAUCAAAAUGUCUUCAGAAUUGGGCUUUAGUGAAUAAAACAUGAAAAAUAUUACUUGCUCAAUGAAUUAAAAGGAAACUGGGGCUACUAGAAAUGUUGUGUAUGCAUAAGCUAUAAAGGCUGGCUUGUACAGAAGAGAAACUUUUUGAAGAGGGAACUAAAGCACAGUUCUGUGGACAUGACGAAGAUGAUUGCUGAGCUGAAGACAUGCAUGCUGGUAUAAAUCAAGGUUUUUCUGCAGUCACCAGAGUUAGUGUUGUUCCAUUAAAAGUACCCCAAUACAUCAGUCCUCAUCUUUAAUUGAAUGCUGUAGAUUAUGACAACUAAGUCAUUGAAGCAAUUGCUUUUCUAGCUUUUGACCAUAUCAAAAUCUUUCUAGUCUCAAGUCAAAUACACACAGGCAACUAUUAAUUUUGCCUCUGUCAAGCCCUCGCCAAUAUAAUCAAAGAAGCCAGGCCAUAGCUUCAAACAGAGGUUAGUUAGAAUAAUUCCUUAAAACUACCAUCAUAACAUCUGUU